rnacentral:tRNA from 1 species
AGGAUUAUAGUUUAAAAAAAACUUUUGAUUUGCAUUCAAAAAAUAUUAUAUAAAUAAUUUUU